UUUGUGACCAGACCCUUGACAGAGUUUACAACCGACAGUCGCCAACAUUGCACGUCGUCCUCAUCGUUCAAAAAGUCGGCGAAGACGUUGUGAUAAUUCGACUCGAUCUCAUUCGCCGUCAUUUAAAUAAUUAGUUUAAAACAAUUAUAAUCAAGAGUUUAAGAUUCAAGCAAUAUUUUAGCAAUUAAAUUACAGCAAUCAUGUCCAUCGCACCAAAAAUUACAAAAAUAAUAUCAAUUUCCGAAACCACUGCAAUUACAAUAAAUGAAAGUGUAGUAAUUUUGUGUACCAGAAACGGCGUCCACAGAAUAACAUAAAUACUGUGUAGCUGAGACGAUUUCAUUAAAUGAAUUCACUAAAGCACCAAAGCUUAUGAACUUAAUCACUUUUCUCUCAUUUAAGGCUUUUAUAGUGGCUGUUAUAAUUUUAUAGUUAUAAAUAAUAAUAAUUUUGUUAAUAAAAUCACAUUCAACCAAGAAUAAUAACACCUUAAAAACAUAUGAAUAAUUUUAAGUUAACAUUUAUAUUAAGUGAAGUAUUAUAUAUUUGUCUGCAAAUAUUUUUAAUUUUUAUAUAAGAAAAUUGAAAAGACUGACUUGUUACCAAUUUUUUUUCUUUUAUUUAUAUUUUUAUCCGUAUUUUAACUAUAAGUAGAAUAAUAUAAUGAAUAAGAAAACAAUGAAAUCACCAUGUCUUCCACUAAGUGUUAAGGUUGAUACGUAUAAUUACAAUUAUAAUAAUUAGAAAUUAAGUCAUAAUAAGUUUUUAUUCGUAGAUAACCAUUAAUUUCAGUCAUAUUAAUAUUAUCUAAUUAAAGUGUUCAAUUUAAAGAAAAUAUAAUAAUAAAUACUGGCCCUAUCAACUGGGAGUGACAUUUGACAAUAAAGAAACGUUAGGUCCACCUGCCAGCAUAUACAAACUAUGUUAGGUACUUUAAAUGUAUAAUUUUAUUUCUAAUUAAAUAUACUUUUAUUGUUCAGACACAUAUUUUGUGAACGAACAAUAGGGGUUUUAUUUUUCAUUUGUAACCGUAAUUUCAUUUUUUUUUCACGGCGAUAUUUAUUAUAGAUCCUAAUUGCAUAGAUUGCGCAUAAUCCCAUUUUUUAUAGCAGAUAAUAAAUACAUGUUGUUAAUAAUAUAAGUAAUUUCAAUAACAGUUUAUUCAAAUUAAAUGACUAAUCUUAGAGCUUGAUUUUCAUUCAAAUCAAUUAAUUUCAACCCAAAUUUUAUAAAUUUAAUGUAAUAUAUGAUUUAUUUAUAAUACAUAUAGCGUAUUUUACUUUUUUUUACAUAUACUAUAUGUAAAACAAUAACUAUAAAAUAACAAACGCGCUGUAUCUUAAUUAGAUCUAAACUACAAAAUGUCUAUUAUAAUUUAGUAUUACUUCUUCAUACAUUAAAUUUAUAUAAAUACCUGAAAAUUAUAAUCUAUCAUUUAUUGUGUUUAUUACUAUUGUAAAAUAUAUUAAUUAGUAAUUACAAAUUAUAAAUUGUAAAAAAAUAAUAUAAUUUACCACUAAAUUAAAAUUGGUUAAAUUUGGACAGACAUUCUUCUGUAAAAGUACGUGUUAUUAAAUCAUAUGUGAUUUCAAUCGUUAAAUUACAAUGUUUUAAAUAGCAAUCAAGCAACUUAUAUUUAUAUAUUAUAUACAUUUUGUUGUAAUUGUGUAAAAAAUACAUAUUUUUAGUUUUUUGUCGAUUUUUGUUGUAUACAUUAACGUUAAAAGUCUAGACUUUAAAAUACCUUUUAUAAGGUAUUUAGUUUAUUUUUCAUAUUACAAUGUCAUAAAAAAUGUAAUAAUAUUGAAAAAUAUAAAAAAUUAAGUAUUAUAGGCAAACCUUAAU